rnacentral:lncRNA from 1 species
GAUGGACAAGAAGAAGCGAGAUGGGACAAUAACAAUAUCGAGGGAUGGGAGGAGAAAAAGUAGAUGACAGAAGAACCUAUGAAUGUGCAAGCAAUGAAGAAACCUUGUUGCUUCUUUUGUUUUCUUGAUCUCAGAUCAUUCUGUAACCGUCAUUCACUCAGUCUUACCCCAAGUAUAGUACAAUUUCUCUAAUUUUUUUUAUGAUGCUCUUAAAAUUGAAGUACUUGCAAGAACAGCAACGGUACACAAUCUCUGUUCUUUACGAUAAUGGCUUAAUCUGAAGCGAACCAUGAACAAUUGUGAAGUCAAACCACAGUAAUCAUUAUUUUCGUUACCAAAUAAUUUUGUUCAAGCCUUUCCUUGAAAAGGCUGAACAAUACGAACGAUUUGUUCAAUCUCAAACUCCUCAGCACCAACAAGAACAACAACAAGGUCUGCUCUACUCUCCCAAAGCUCGAUUCUUUCGUUUGCGUAUGUGUAAUUGAAAUAUAGAUUUAGCCUGUGAAUGAUUGAUAGUUAGUUGAUGUUCCAUUUAGUUCUUGGACUGUGGAAGUUAUCAACUGUCUCUAGCACAAUCUCAUGAUGAAAUUUCAGAUAGUUUUUGAGCUAUUGCAAAAGAAAGUAUCAAUCUCUGCUUCCUAUUGAUAACAAUUUGUAUUAGCAGAAUCUCGUAAUUUUUUCAAAGAUUAUUUAUGGCAGAAUGAUAAGCUCAUAAUGACGGAAUCUGUUUUUGAACGUUCUGCCAAUCAUCCAUGAUUGGUCAUUUUAGAGCUUUCUGAAUACUCCCAAUUAGUUGGAUGAGUGAGCCCUUUAUGUUCUUAGUCAUUGCUGUCUUAAAUGUAAUCCAUGGUGUCUGUUAGAAUCUCUAACUUAGAACUUUUGAUUGUUCAUAAAUCAUAAUGUAGAUGGACAAGAAGAAGGGAGAUGGGACAAUAACAAUAUCGAGGGAUGGGAGGAGAAAAAGUAGAUGACAGAACCUAUGAAUGUGCAAGCAAUGAAGAAACCUUGUUGCUUCUUUUGUUUUCUUGAUCUCAGAUCAUUCUGUAACCGUCAUUCACUCAGUCUUACCCCAAGUAUAGUACAAUUUCUCUAAUUUUUUUUAUGAUGC